GAUGAACGCUGGCGGCGUGCCUAAUACAUGCAAGUCGAGCGAACAGACGAGAGUGCUUGCACUCUCUGACGUUAGCGGCGGACGGGUGAGUAACACGUGGGUAACCUACCUAUAAGACUGGGAUAACUUCGGGAAACCGGAGCUAAUACCGGAUAAUAUUUAGCUUCGCAUGAAGCAAUAGUGAAAGACGGUUCUGCUGUCACUUAUAGAUGGACCCGCGGUGUAUUAGCUAGUUGGUGAGGUAACGGCUCACCAAGGCAACGAUACAUAGCCGACCUGAGAGGGUGAUCGGCCACACUGGGACUGAGACACGGCCCAGACUCCUACGGGAGGCAGCAGUAGGGAAUCUUCCGCAAUGGACGAAAGUCUGACGGAGCAAUGCCGCGUGAGUGAAGAAGGUUUUCGGAUCGUAAAACUCUGUUGUAAGGGAAGAACAAGUACGUUAGUAACUGAACGUACCUUGACGGUACCUUACCAGAGAGCCACGGCUAACUACGUG
rnacentral:rRNA from 1 species